CGAACGUUAGCGGCGCGCUUAACACAUGCAAGUCGAACGAGAAAGGGUAUCUUCGGGUACCCCGGUAAAGUGGCGCACGGGUGAGUAACACGUAGGUAACCUACCCUUAGGCGGGGGAUAACCUUACCGAAAGGAGGGCUAAUACCGCAUAAGACCACAUCGUGAGAGCGGAAGUGGUUAAAGUCGGCCUCUUCAUGAAAGCUGACACCUGAGGAUGGGCCUGCGCCCCAUCAGCUUGUUGGUAGGGUAACAGCCUACCAAGGCUAAGACGGGUAGCUGGUCUGAGAGGAUGAUCAGCCACACUGGAACUGAGACACGGUCCAGACUCCUACGGGAGGCAGCAGUGGGGAAUCUUGCGCAAUGGGCGAAAGCCUGACGCAGCGACGCCGCGUGAGUGAUGAAGGCCUUAGGGUUGUAAAGCUCUGUGGAGGGGGACGAAUAAGCAUCAGUUAAUAGCUGAUGUGAUGACGGUACCUCUUUAGCAAGCACCGGCUAACUCU
rnacentral:rRNA from 1 species